rnacentral:hammerhead_ribozyme from 1 species
AUCCAGAUGACGAGUCCUAAAUAAGACGAAACGCACGUUGUGCAU